AAUUCUUCAAAGUAAAUCUUUUGUUAAUUCAAUUGGUUUCACUUUGGUAUUGGAGGUCUUUUGCAGCUUCACACCUGCUCCUCUUUGUGCAUUAGCUGGAUCUCAGUGUUAUGCUUGGUUCCACUCGGCGUGAUAAAUUAUCUAUCGCUGAGGACACUGUAAAAGGUGGCCAAGGUAAAUGCAGAUGAACCGCUUCUAGUAGUCCAUUGACUUGGACAAUAUUUUUAUG
rnacentral:misc_RNA from 1 species